rfam:Loxodonta africana unplaced genomic scaffold scaffold_27, whole genome shotgun sequence.
GGUGGUUAAAGUGUUUGGCUGCUAACCAAAAAGUUGGUGGUUCAAACCCACUAGCCACUC